rnacentral:rRNA from 1 species
CCUACGGGAGGCAGCAGUGGGGAAUAUUGCACAAUGGGGGAAACCCUGAUGCAGCGACGCCGCGUGAGUGAAGAAGUAUUUCGGUAUGUAAAGCUCUAUCAGCAGGGAAGAGAAUGACGGUACCUGAGUAAGAAGCCACGGCUAACUACGUGCCAGCAGCCGCGGUAAUACGUAGGGGGCAAGCGUUAUCCGGAUUUACUGGGUGUAAAGGGAGAGUAGACGGCGAAGAAGGUCUGAAGUGAAAGCCCGCGGCUCAACCGCGGAACUGCUUUGGAAACUGUUUUGCUGGAGUACCGGAGAGGUAAGCGGAAUUCCUAGUGUAGCGGUGAAAUGCGUAGAUAUUAGGAGGAACACCAGUGGCGAAGGCGGCUUACUGGACGGUAACUGACGUUGAGGCUCGAAAGCGUGGGGAGCAAACAGGAUUAGAUACCCGAGUAGUC